rnacentral:rRNA from 1 species
GUCUAUGGCCAUGCUACCCUGAACAAGCCUGAUCCUGUCUGAUCGUGGAAGCUAAGCAGGGUCGGGCCUGAGCAGGGUCGGGCCUGGUUAGUACUUGGAUGGGAGACCAACUAGGAAGAUCAGAUGCUGUAGGUG